UACAGAGGUCCCAAGCGUUGUUCGGAUUCACUGGGCGUAAAGGGUGCGUAGGUGGCGAGGAAAGUCUGAUGUGAAAUCUCCGGGCUUAACCCGGAAAUGGCAUUGGAAACUACCUUGCUUGAGGGUUGGAGGGGGACUGGAAUACUUGGUGUAGCAGUGAAAUGCGUAGAUAUCAAGUGGAACACCAGUGGCGAAGGCGAGUCCCUGGACAACUCCUGACACUGAGGCACGAAAGCUAGGGGAGCAAACGGG
rnacentral:rRNA from 1 species